AGUGAACGCUGGCGGUAGGCCUAACACAUGCAAGUCGAACGGCAGCACAGUAAGAGCUUGCUCUUACGGGUGGCGAGUGGCGGACGGGUGAGGAAUACAUCGGAAUCUACUUUUUCGUGGGGGAUAACGUAGGGAAACUUACGCUAAUACCGCAUACGACCUACGGGUGAAAGCAGGGGAUCUUCGGACCUUGCGCGAUUGAAUGAGCCGAUGUCGGAUUAGCUAGUUGGCGGGGUAAAGGCCCACCAAGGCGACGAUCCGUAGCUGGUCUGAGAGGAUGAUCAGCCACACUGGACCUGAGACACGGUCCAGACUCCUACGGGAGGCAGCAGUGGGGAAUAUUGGACAAAGGGCGCAAGCCUGACCCAGCCAUACCGCGUGGGUGAAGAAGGCCUUCGGGUUGUAAAGCCCUUUUGUUGGGAAAGAAAAGCAGCAGGUUAAUACCCCGCUGUUCUGACGGUACCCAAAGAAUAAGCACCGGCUAACUUCGUG
rnacentral:rRNA from 1 species